UUGACCUGAACUCAGUCGAGAGCACCCGCUGAACUUAAGCAUAUCAGUAAGCGGAGGAAAAGAAACUAAACAGGAUUCCCCCAGUAACGGCGAGUGAACAGGGAAAUGUCCAUCGCUAAAUCAUUUUGUCUCAGGCAUUAUGAGGUGUAGCGUAUAAGCCGUAAUUUUUGAUCUUUUGUCUCAAACAAGUCCCCUUGACAGGGGUUCCACAGAAGGUGCAAGUCCUGUACAUUGAGAUAAUUGAUCGAUAUUUGCGUGCUUUAGAGUCGGGUUGUUUGGGAUCGCAGCCCAAAGUCGGUGGUAAACUUCAUCUAAGACUCAAUAUUGCCACGAGACCGAUAGCAAACAAGUACUGUGAAGGAAAGUUGCAAAGCACUUUGAAGAGAGAGUUAAAGAGGACGUGAAACCGGUGAGGUGGAAACGGAUAGAGUCGGCGUAUCUUUCAAGUAUUCAUUUACAUUAUUUUUAUGUUGUGAUCUCUGAGCUCCAGAUUGGGACAGAAAGAAGCAGCAUAAUUUUCUGUGAUGCAUUUACUUGUUUGGUGCUUGGGGAUGUUUGAGGCAGAUUUGUAACCGCCGUUUUGAGGCCAGCUUGCUGGUACCCAAACAGCGUUAGCAUCUUUUGUCUUGGACAUUUGAGUAUGGCUUACGGGCAUUUAUUGGUUCGAUCUGAUUGUAAGUUACGGUCGCAUGCGACACGUGCUUUUCAUUUAGAUCGGUCCAGUUAAUGCUCUCGUACUCGCUCCCCAUGUAAAAGCCGGUCAUCUAUCCGACCCGUCUUGAAACACGGACCAAGGAGUUUAUCGUGUGCGCAAGUUUUUGGGUGUUAAAAACCUAAAAGCGAAAUGAAAGUAAAUGGCUCUUUAGAGUCUGAUGUGCGAUCUUGUAAAAAAGGGCAGCAUGGCCCCAUUCUAACUGUUUACAGUAGGGUGGAGGAAGAGCGUACGCGGUGAGACCCGAAAGAUGGUGAACUAUUCCUGAGCAGGACGAAGCCAGAGGAAACUCUGGUGGAAGUCCGAAGCGGUUCUGACGUGCAAAUCGAUCGUCUGACUUGGGUAUAGGGGCGAAAGACUAAUCGAACCAUCUAGUAGCUGGUUCCCUCUGAAGUUUCCCCCAGGAUAGCUGGAGCUCAUUAGUAGUUAUACUCGGUAAAGCGAAUGAUUAGAGGACUUGGGAACGAAAUGUUCUUAACCUAUUCUCAAACUCUAAAUGGGUAUGAUGUCAAAGUUGCUUGAUUUUGAACUUUGGCGUUGAAUACGAGUUCCAAGUGGGCCAUUUUUGGUAAGCAGAACUGGCGAUGUGGGAUGAACCAAACGCGGAGUUGAGGUGCCAAAGUGCCCGCUCAUUAGACACCAUAAAAGGUGUUGGUUGAUACAGACAGCAGGACGGUGGCCAUGGAAGUCGGAAUCCGCUAAGGAGUGUGUAACAACUCACCUGCCGAAUCAACUAGCCCUGAAAAUGGAUGGCGCUGGAGCGGGCCACCUAUACUCUGCCGUCAUAUGCUUGUAUUUUCCGUGAAAAGUCUUGCAAUGACG
rnacentral:rRNA from 1 species